AUUGAACGCUGGCGGCAUGCCUUACACAUGCAAGUCGAACGGCAGCACGGGGGCAACCCUGGUGGCGAGUGGCGAACGGGUGAGUAAUGCAUCGGAACGUGUCCUCUUGUGGGGGAUAACCAGUCGAAAGAUUGGCUAAUACCGCAUGAGAUCGCAAGAUGAAAGCGGGGGACCGCAAGGCCUCGCGCGAGAGGAGCGGCCGAUGCCGGAUUAGCUAGUUGGUGGGGUAAAAGCCUACCAAGGCGACAAUCCGUAGCUGGUCUGAGAGGACGACCAGCCACACUGGGACUGAGACACGGCCCAGACUCCUACGGGAGGCAGCAGUGGGGAAUUUUGGACAAUGGGCGCAAGCCUGAUCCAGCCAUGCCGCGUGUGUGAAGAAGGCCUUCGGGUUGUAAAGCACUUUCGGACGGAACGAAAUCGCGCGGGCGAACAUCCCGCGUGGAUGACGGUACCGUAAGAAGAAGCACCGGCUAACUACGUGCCAGCAGCCGCCGUAA
rnacentral:rRNA from 1 species